UUCUGGGGGACGAGGACCUCACCUGCAAGACAUGACUCCCAUGUGGCUCUUCCUCUUCCUGCUGUCAGCUCCCAGAUGUGUCCUGUCCCAGGUGCAACUGCAGGAGUCAGGCCCAGGACUGGUGAAGCCCUCGCAGACCCUCUCCCUCACCUGCACUGUGUCUGGAUUCUCCAUCACUACCAGUGGUUAUGCCUGGAGCUGGAUACGUCAUCCCCCAGGGAAGGGGCUGAAGUGGAUGGGGAAUAUCUGGGAUAAUGGAGACACUUACUACAGCCCGUCCCUCAAGAGCCGAACCUCCAUCUCCAGAGACACGUCCAAGAACCAGUUCUCCCUUCAGCUGAGCUCCAUGACCACCGACGACUCCGCUGUGUAUUACUGUACGAGACACAGUGAGGGGAAAUGUACCAUGGAUUUUUCAUCCAAUCGUAUGCUGACGGGCACUUAG